CUUGGUCAUUUAGAGGAAGUAAAAGUCGUAACAAGGUCUCCGUUGGUGAACCAGCGGAGGGAUCAUUACCGAGUUUACAACUCCCAAACCCCCUGUGAACCUAUACCAUUACUGUUGCUUCGGCGGGUCAUUGCCCCGGGGAAAGGACGAGGUGCCGCCUAGGCUCCCCGGCCCGCCCCCGGAAACAGGCGCCUGCCGGGGGAAUCAAACUCUUCUGUAUUUUUUACUUUUACUGUUAUACUGUCUGAGUACAAAACUAUAAAUGAAUCAAAACUUUCAACAACGGAUCUCUUGGUUCUGGCAUCGAUGAAGAACGCAGCGAAAUGCGAUAAGUAAUGUGAAUUGCAGAAUUCAGUGAAUCAUCGAAUCUUUGAACGCACAUUGCGCCCGCCAGUAUUCUGGCGGGCAUGCCUGUUCGAGCGUCAUUACAACCCUCAAGUCCCCUGUGGACUUGGUGUUGGGGACCGGCGACACGCAGCUGUGUUUUUCUCACAGUUGGUUCGCCGCCCCCUAAAUGACUUGGCGGCCCCGUCUUAGGGUACCCCUCUGCGUAGUAGAACACACCUCGCAACAGGAAGCCCGGCGAAUGGCCACUGCCGUAAAACCCCCCAACUUCUUUCAGAGUUGACCUCGAAUCAGGUAGGAAUACCCGCUGAACUUAAGCAUAUCAAUAAGCGGAGGA
rnacentral:rRNA from 1 species